rnacentral:rRNA from 1 species
UACGUAGGUGGCAAGCGUUAUCCGGAAUUAUUGGGCGUAAAGAGCUCGUAGGCGGUCUGUUGCGUCCGCUGUGAAAACUCGGGGCUUAACCCCGAGCCUGCAGUGGAUACGGGCAGACUAGAGGUAGGUAGGGGAGAAUGGAAUUCCCGGUGUAGCGGUGAAAUGCGCAGAUAUCGGGAGGAACACCGGUGGCGAAGGCGGCUUCCUGGCCUGUUCUUGACGCUGAGGCGCGAAAGCUAGGGGAGCAAACGGG